UACCAACACUAAUGCACCGGAUCC
rnacentral:siRNA from 1 species